AAUGCAGAAAUGGAGAAGAGAAGGACAGGCCUGGAUUAGAAUCCCAACCCCAUCACUCACUUCUGGCUGGACCUGGGGGGAUUUACUUCACUCUCUAAACUUCAUUUUUCUUGUUAGUGAAAUUGGGAUCCUACCCCUUGGAGGUUUGAGGUUUAACUGUAACAUACGUAAAGGACCUUGCACAAUACCUGCCAUAUACAGCAGGUGUUCAAGAAAUACUAUCAUUAUUUACUCUCUUUUGGUCAUGUAUUAGCUACCUGGUACAGUAACUGGCUCCCCACUAUAAAGCAACUGAAAUUCAGAAUCCUAACCACAAAAUGUGGCUGCUAUAAAGGAGCAGAGCUUUGUUUGGAGUCUGAAGCUCUGAUUUCUUCCUCAGAGGUUACUGCUGCUCUUUGCUGAAAAACUAAAAGAAUAAUGAAAAAGUGACAAAAGUUCCCAUUAUCAGCAUUUACUAGUAUCUUGAAGGAAAUGGCCAAGACUAACAGCACAGCCUCUCCUUACAGGCCCUACCAUUCAAUAGAGGCACAGUUCUCCCAGUCGCUUGUUCUAAGCUUGUGAAGGAAAUCGGACUCCUGAUUCUACAGGCUGAAGAAAGGAAGGCAAAGCACUUUGAGAGAAUGAUGACAGGUCUGAGUGACAGUCCGUUCCAGGCCCACCUCUGCCCAAUGCAGCUUUCACUGGACCAGAGUAGCCUGGAAAACAGCCUUGCUUGUGGAAACCCUGAGCCCAGGGUCAUUUUCUUACCUGAGUCUAGGCUGAAAGCUAAGGCACGGUGAUGAUAAAAUACAAAAGGGCACAGAAAAAGACUUGAGGAGGGCCUCACUGCCAAAUGGUUCCUUGGGCCAGAUUCCCAGCAGCCUUUAGGAUUAUACAUAACAUAUCGUGUUAUGUAUAAAGCCAUCGUGUUCCCAGCAAGAAACGUAUUUAUAGCCAUUCCAUCCUACACCCUUGCCUCCAAUUCUUAGGCCCAAAACUAGUCUCUGCAUCCAUCUGUUCAACAAUAGAAGUUUCACAAGUAGCAACUACUCACAUUUCUACAACCUUAUCCAAAGUUGUGCCUAUUGGAAUGACAUUUGGAUACACAUUCACAGGACAGAUGUAGUUCAAGAAAUCUUUAAUCUAGAAGGAAAAUAAAAUAGGUCAAUUAUCUCUAUGCUGAAAAAUCUGGGUGUCAGAGAAGCAACAAAUGAGGCCAGGAGAAAGAGCAGCAGGAAUUUCUUGUGUGGUCCUCAAUGCUAGCUGCACAUGGGGACCACCUGGGGGCCUCCCAGGAAAAAUGAAUCAACAUUCAGGCCCACCCCCAAAAUCCUUUUGUUACUGAGUUACAGUGGGGCCUGGAAAUCUGAAUAUUUAAGUGUUCUUCAGGUGAUUCUGUUCCACAGUAAGGACUAGGAAUCAUGGAUUCAUGGACUUCUUCCAGGAUGCUUGAUUUGUUCUAACAGUUUAUUCUAACCUAGAGGAAAACUGAAGGCAAAAAUUUCAUGAAUACCUUGAUUUUCUGCAAAGUUCUGAAUGCUAUAAAAGAGGAACUCUGUCAAUAUUCCUCAAAACAUCUCUACAAUCCAGACAAGUUUCAGUUUUGUCACUUGUUAGAUCUUGGUGAACAUGUGAUCUUGGUCAGGUUACCUGGAGUCUGCAUUCGAUUCUUCAGCUAAAAGUCUUAAUGAGAUAAUGCAUGUGAAGAGUUUGGCCUGGCAUAUGUUUAACAUUCAGUGAAAUUAUCCAUCACACACAUGAUAAUGACAACACACAAAGGUUUUUAUUCCCUUCUGCAAGUGGGGAAACUGAGAUCUGAGUAAUUAUUAGAACCCAACUUUACCAAAUCAAAAAAAGUAGGAACCCAGGAAUUAUCAAUAACUCCAUAUUAAAAUAAAGUGGCUACCUUAUUUAAAACAGGAGAAAAAGCAAGACGACCCAUUCAUUCUUCAGGUAUUUUCCAUAAACUCUUUUUUUUUUUACUUUCAGAGCAGAAACUAUUACUUACCUGGCCACAACCUAUAUGAUUUGCAUAAUUUGUUCUGAGGCUUUUCAAGGGAAGAGGGAUAAAGAAAGUAAGGUUUACCUAUACCAGAAAUCAUUCACUUUUACUUAGAAAUGAAGUGGCCACAGGAGGCAAGAGACACCCACUAGAGAGGCACCCUCUGUCCCUUGUACAAGCUGAUGUCCUUGCAUCAGAUGUCUGCCUUAAGACCAUUCACGAAGACCGUCUAUUCUUAUCCUCGUUAUGUUCAUUGAAGUCACUGGGCACGGUGAGUCGGCAAACACUGAACCAGGGCUCCUACCAGGAAGACCAGGUUCCUGUGAACCUCUGGUCACUGUUUCUGUCAGCCUACCAACGCAUCACCUUGUUUUCUUUUUUUUUUUUUUUUUUUUUUAUCACCUUGUUUUCUAUGCGCUUCUGACACCUAUUCCACGUGCACUGUUGACUCAUUACCACUGAAUUCACGGCCAACAGCACCAUAACUCCUGCCUGAACAAAGCUUAUCAAACACAUGUAUUUCUUCCAUGAGGGCACAGCCCAGCCUCUGUGCUUAGGAACAUGCACAGCUCCCCAGCACUGCACCUGGGGGCCGUUUUAAACAGUGAAACCCCCAACAAAAAGCACAGAAAUGUGUAAAUGCAGCACUGACCUGCCUGCAAAAGGACACCUGUUUACCCUGGAGCUCAGUGGCGAGGGCAGAGCACCACCCUGUUCAGCCUCAGCCGGGAAUAUGCGUGUCUGCUGACUCCCUGGGCCUGACUGCAAACAACCUUGCAGCGCUGCAACUAUUAAUUUGGGGGGUCAUAAAUUUUGAUGAGCAAGCAGACUUUUGUAAAUAAGGAAUCCAUGAGUAAGGAGGAUCAGCUGUAGUCAGAAAAACUGACAGGAAAUGAUACUUAAGCCUCCUAUUUAUGGGAGGCACCUGGGUGGCUCAGUUGGUUGAGCGGCUCACUUGGUUUCAGCUCAGGUCAUGGUCUCAGGGUCAUGAAGUUGAGCUCUACACUCGAGAUUCUCUCUGCCUCUCCCUCCCAUUCGAGUAUAUGCUCUAAAAUAAUUUUUGAAAAAUCUACUACUUAUGUUUUUAAAUAUAUUUCAACGUGAUCUAUACUUAGGAUAGGCCUAUUAGAGUUUUCAGGAAAGCCUGUCUCCUCACCACCCUGAGAGAUGACCAAGUGGAGCUCAUGGUGACUCUCCAUGUGUGCGAUCAAUAGUGCUAAUCCAGAGGGAGUGUGGGGGAUGAUGGCAGGGCAGGGGGGUCAUCUGUUUCAUCUCUCUGCUCAAGCACCAAAAAGACCUCCUAAGGGGUAACUGCAUAAAAUCCCAGGAAGGCUUAUGCUUUCCAACCCGGCUGCUAACUACACUGAAGGAGGGAAACAGGCCAGAUGUAGUCCUAAGUGAAAAAGUAAGGCCAAACCCAUUCCCUCAUUAGAUGCCUUCCCAGGUGGCUGAGACAGAAAGAAUCCCCAGCCCUAAGGGAUCAAAGGAAGGGGCCUUGAUCCUGAGCCAGAUACCAAACAGAAGACAAAUCCCCAGGAGGGGGCUUUGACAACAAUCUGAGAUUUCAGGAUAAAAUGAGGAAAACACAUUAGCUCAAUUAUGCCAUCACAAUGAAUCCCUUCCAAGCUGCUCUCAGAUAACCGAUUUGUACCUGAAAGUUAAGGUCAGUUAUUUAAUAGUAUUUAAAUACUAUUUAAAUAGUAUUUAAAUACACUGUGGUAUUUCGAUAAUAUGAUGAAGAGUCAUUUACAACACUACGGCUGACUUGCGCUCUGAAGAAUCCAAUUGUUCGAAUCAUUAACACGCCCACGGCUCACGGCUCACUGCUGCAGUGCCGCAUCCGUGUAUCCCAAAUACAAAAAUGAUAGUUACCCGGGAAAUCAAUGUUUAAGUGCAGAAAUGGUCAAACUAAAAGUGUCAUACAAAGUCUGAUUUUAUGCACCUUUUUCUCCUAAUAUGUACAUGAGAUUACUAAAACUCAGCACUUAUGAGAUGCUGGCAUUUACUCUGGAAAUGCAUGAGGAGUUUGCAAAUAAAGUACACAUACCAAGUUCCCACUCUAGCAGGUCAAUUUCCUACAUGAAAAGGAUCCUGACAAUGCAAAACUGAUAACUACUGAGCUCUACAUCUGAAGCUAAUAACGAAGCUAAUAAUGUUUUAUCUAUAUGUUGACUAAUUAAAAAAAAAAAAGAAAAGUAAAAAGAAUCC